rnacentral:rRNA from 1 species
GGCUUUUUGAUUAUAAUUUAAGGUCUAGCCUGCCCAAUGAUUAAUAUUAAAUGGCCGCGGUAUUUUGACCGUGCAAAGGUAGCAUAAUCAUUAGUUUUUUAAUUGAAAGCUUGUAUGAAAGGUUUGAUGAAAAAAUAACUGUCUCUAUUUAAAUUUUUUAGAAAUUUAUUUUUAAGUUAAAAAGCUUAAAUAAUUAUUAAAGACGAGAAGACCCUAUAGAGUUUUAUAUUUUUAUAAAAUUUAUUAUAUUUUAGAAUUUUUUAAUGAUUUUAUAAAUAUUAUUUGGUUGGGGUGAUUUAAAAAUUAAUUUAACUUUUUUAUUUAGUAUUACAUUGAUUUAUGAAUUUAUGAUCUUUAUUAAAGAUUGAUAGAUAAAAUUACCUUAGGGAUAACAGCGUAAUUUUUUUUAGAGUUCUUAUCAAAAAAAAAGAUUGCGACCUCGAUGUUGGAUUAAAAUUAAUUAUUGGUGUAGAAGCUAAUAAAUUAGGUCUGUUCGACCUUUAAAAUUUUACAUGAUCUGAGUUUAAACCGGUGUAA